rnacentral:rRNA from 1 species
UACGUAGGGUGCGAGCGUUAAUCGGAAUUACUGGGCGUAAAGCGUGCGCAGGCGGCGCACCAAGCUCGAUGUGAAAGCCCCGGGCUUAACCUGGGAAUUGCAUUGAGGACUGGUGUGCUCGAGUACGGCAGAGGGGGGUGGAAUUCCACGUGUAGCAGUGAAAUGCGUAGAGAUGUGGAGGAACACCGAUGGCGAAGGCAGCCCCCUGGGCCGACACUGACGCUCAUGCACGAAAGCGUGGGGAGCAAACAGG